GCUUCUGUCCUGCGCGCGCAGAUUAACGCAAACCCGGAAGCGGAUAGGGUGGAGUGUAGGUCAUAUCGACGCGUUGACUAGAUAACUAAGGGCAAUGCAGAUAUAUAAAAGUGCUGUAUUGCCUGGUGUUAUGUAACUGUACCUGUGACAUCAUCAUUGCACCCUCCGACAUGAUAUCUCUUCCAAAUGCUUGAUGAAAAAGGUGGGAGGAUCACUUGAGCCAGGGAGUUGAAGGCUGGAGUGAGCCCUGUUUUGCCACCACACUCCAGCUUGG
rnacentral:sRNA from 1 species